rnacentral:rRNA from 1 species
UUGACCUCGAAUCAGGUAGGAAUACCCGCUGAACUUAAGCAUAUCAAUAAGCGGAGGAAAAGAAACCAACAGGGAUUGCCCCAGUAACGGCGAGUGAAGCGGCAACAGCUCAAAUUUGAAAUCUGGCUCUCGGGCCCGAGUUGUAAUUUGUAGAGGAUGCUUUUGGUGAGGUGCCUUCCGAGUUCCCUGGAACGGGACGCCAUAGAGGGUGAGAGCCCCGUCUGGUUGGACGCCGAACCUCUGUAAAGCUCCUUCGACGAGUCGAGUAGUUUGGGAAUGCUGCUCUAAAUGGGAGGUAUAUGUCUUCUAAAGCUAAAUACCGGCCAGAGACCGAUAGCGCACAAGUAGAGUGAUCGAAAGAUGAAAAGAACUUUGAAAAGAGAGUUAAACAGUACGUGAAAUUGUUGAAAGGGAAGCGCUUGUGACCAGACUUGGGCUUGGUUGAUCAUCCGGGGUUCUCCCCGGUGCACUCUUCCGGCCCAGGCCAGCAUCAGUUCGCCCUGGGGGACAAAGGCAUCGGGAACGUGGCUCUCUCCGGGGAGUGUUAUAGCCCGUUGCGUAAUACCCUGCGGCGGACUGAGGUUCGCGCAUUCGCAAGGAUGCUGGCGUAAUGGUCAUCAGUGAC